rnacentral:tRNA from 1 species
GGGCCUAUAGCUCAGCAUGGUAGAGCAGCGGGCUUUUAGGUUAAACCUAAAAGCUUUGAUUUUAAAGAUGAAAGAAACCCGUUGGUCCCGGGUUCAAAUCCCGGUAGGCCCA